UACGUAGGAUGCAAGCGUUGUCCGGAUUUACUGGGCGUAAAGCGUGCGCAGGCGGUUGUGUAAGACAGAUGUGAAAUCCCCGGGCUCAACCUGGGAACUGCAUUUGUGACUGCACAGCUGGAGUGCGGCAGAGGGGGAUGGAAUUCCGCGUGUAGCAGUGAAAUGCGUAGAUAUGCGGAGGAACACCGAUGGCGAAGGCAAUCCCCUGGGCCUGCACUGACGCUCAUGCACGAAAGCGUGGGGAGCAAACAGG
rnacentral:rRNA from 1 species